rnacentral:lncRNA from 1 species
AAAAUCUUUUUUUUUUAAAAAGGAAUCAACAUGAGAAAGAAUAAUAUUGUUCUAUGCUUGUACCCUGUCAGAUCCUCCUUGUGGGGUCCAAAUCAUCCUGGAAAUGGAGUCUGAGCUCUGCAGGUGUUCAUAAUCUAGUCAACAUGUAAGCAAAUGAUGAGUAGGCCUGUGGGAUGCCGCCGGUUUGCUGUCUUGUCCAGGACUGGGUGAUUGAAUGCAUCUCAGGUGGCCAGCUGUCUGAGGAGCGUGCCCGCCGCCCACCCGCAUUCUGGCAGCCUGCGCCACCCUGGAGACCCCAGCCUCCAUUAGCAGCAGAGACGUCGAGAGAGUCUGACAUCCCUGACCUGCCAGCGAGUCUUCCUUUGUUUGACUCCAUUAGUAACUGACCUAUUAGACUUUGCAAGAAGAAGAUUCCAGAACCCACCUGCAAUCUAAACAGCUUUCAGCAGAAACAGUUGGUCUGUGUUCCUCUUGCAGAUAGCUCUGGGCGGAGGAAGCAGAAAUUGCUGUGGCAUCUCCCAAAAGCAUUUUAUAAAAGGACUAUUUAUUCUAGGUUCAGUCUAUUUUGCCCAGCACCUCUCAGACAGUCAAUAAUUCCAGUUUGUUUAUGAUUAUCCUUGUGUCCUCCCCUUCCAUCUGCCUCCCGAGCCUGCGCUUCUCGCCACAGCCGCCCCACAGAAUGGGGGAGCAUCUGUCUUUCUAAUGACCGGCCAUGGCAAUCUUCGCUGUUCAAUAUGGCUAGAUGAAGAAAACAUUUAAUUUCUACUAUGUGGGGCACUCCAAAGCCAGAUUUGACAACUGUUCCAUUGAACACUAGUAUUUCACAAUUUCCUUCGAUAACAAAAAAGAAACAGUUCUUACUCCCAGAGGAAUAUAUUUACAAGACGGAAAGUUGAUAACCAGGCCACUAGAAUGACAAAUGGUUCUAAAAUACACUGUGUAUUGAUGUUGAUGAACGUGCACUGCCUUCUGAGAGAUGGAAUUCUUCCAGAGUGUGUCUUGUUCUCAGCCUGAAGGGCCAGUAAACAUCUUAGUGAGAAGCAAGGGCCUGAGUCCUGUUUCUGAGGCCUUCUUGGAUUGGAGGAGAGAGCGCUUGGGUGAAGGCCUCUGGGCCAUCCAUGAGUGUUAGGUAGGAGCACCAAGGGAAGGAGAUCCCUGAGGGCUGGUCUUCAUGUAGAAGUGAGGUGCCCCCAUAGGGUGGUGAAGGAUGGGAAGGGCCU